rnacentral:rRNA from 1 species
AUUGAACGCUGGCGGCAGGCCUAACACAUGCAAGUCGAACGGUAACAGGAAGCAGCUUGCUGCUUUGCUGACGAGUGGCGGACGGGUGAGUAAUGUCUGGGAAACUGCCCGAUGGAGGGGGAUAACUACUGGAAACGGUAGCUAAUACCGCAUAACGUCGCAAGCACAAAGAGGGGGACCUUAGGGCCUCUUGCCAUCGGAUGUGCCCAGAUGGGAUUAGCUAGUAGGUGGGGUAACGGCUCACCUAGGCGACGAUCCCUAGCUGGUCUGAGAGGAUGACCAGCCACACUGGAACUGAGACACGGUCCAGACUCCUACGGGAGGCAGCAGUGGGGAAUAUUGCACAAUGGGCGCAAGCCUGAUGCAGCCAUGCCGCGUGUAUGAAGAAGGCCUUCGGGUUGUAAAGUACCUUCAGCGGGGAGGAAGGGAGUAAAGUUAAUACCUUUGCUCAUUGACGUUACCCGCAGAAGAAGCACCGGCUAACUCCGUG